ensembl:rRNA 5S_rRNA 5S ribosomal RNA
GUCUAUGGCCAUACCACCCUGAAUGCACUAGAUCUCAUCUGAUCUCAGAAGCUAAGCAGGGUCGGGCCUGGUUAGUACUUGGAUGGGAGGAAGGAAGAGGCAGGCUUCAGAGC